rnacentral:pre_miRNA from 1 species
UAUUGGUCCGGUUCAAUAAGAAAACAGUGCUCUGAUCGUGUUGAGUUCUGCUUUUUGAUUGAGCCGUGCCAAUAUC